AUUGAACGCUGGCGGCAGGCUUAACACAUGCAAGUCGAGCGGAGAUGAGGUGCUUGCACCUUAUCUUAGCGGCGGACGGGUGAGUAAUGCUUAGGAAUCUGCCUAUUAGUGGGGGACAACAUUCCGAAAGGAAUGCUAAUACCGCAUACGUCCUACGGGAGAAAGCAGGGGAUCUUCGGACCUUGCGCUAAUAGAUGAGCCUAAGUCGGAUUAGCUAGUUGGUGGGGUAAGGCCUACCAAGGCGACGAUCUGUAGCGGGUCGGAGAGGAUGAUCCGCCACACUGGGACUGAGACACGGCCCAGACUCCUACGGGAGGCAGCAGUGGGGAAUAUUGGACAAUGGGGGGAACCCUGAUCCAGCCAUGCCGCGUGUGUGAAGAAGGCCUUAUGGUUGUAAAGCACUUUAAGCGAGGAGGAGGCUACUGAGACUAAUACUCUUGGAUAGUGGACGUUACUCGCAGAAUAAGCACCGGCUAACUCUGUGCCAGCCGCCGCGGUAA
rnacentral:rRNA from 1 species